UACGUAGGGUGCAAGCGUUGUCCGGAAUUAUUGGGCGUAAAGAGCUCGUAGGCGGCUUGUCGCGUCGGCUGUGAAACCUGGGCUCAACCCGGGCCUGCAGCCGAUACGGCAAGCUAGAAUUCGGUAGGGAGACUGGAAUUCCUGGUGUAGCGGUGAAAUGCGCAGAUAUCGGGAGGAACACCAGUAGCGAAGACGGCUCGCUGGGCCGUUCCUGACGCUGAGACGCGAAAGCUAGGGAGCGAACGAGG
rnacentral:rRNA from 1 species